AACGAACGCUGGCGGCAUGCCUAACACAUGCAAGUCGAACGAAGCCUUCGGGCUUAGUGGCGCACGGGUGCGUAACGCGUGGGAAUCUGCCCUUGGGUUCGGAAUAACAGUUAGAAAUGACUGCUAAUACCGGAUGAUGUCUUCGGACCAAAGAUUUAUCGCCCAAGGAUGAGCCCGCGUAGGAUUAGGUAGUUGGUGGGGUAAUGGCCCACCAAGCCGACGAUCCUUAGCUGGUCUGAGAGGAUGAUCAGCCACACUGGGACUGAGACACGGCCCAGACUCCUACGGGAGGCAGCAGUGGGGAAUAUUGGACAAUGGGCGAAAGCCUGAUCCAGCAAUGCCGCGUGAGUGAUGAAGGCCUUAGGGUUGUAAAGCUCUUUUACCCGGGAUGAUAAUGACAGUACCGGGAGAAUAAGUUCCGGCUAACUCCGUGCCAGCCGCCGCGGUAA
rnacentral:rRNA from 1 species